GAUGAACGCUGGCGGCGUGCCUAAUACAUGCAAGUCGAGCGAACGGACGAGAAGCUUGCUUCUCUGAUGUUAGCGGCGGACGGGUGAGUAACACGUGGAUAACCUACCUAUAAGACUGGGAUAACUUCGGGAAACCGUAGCUAAUACCGGAUAAUAUUUUGAACCGCAUGGUUCAAAAGUGAAAGACGGUCUUGCUGUCACUUAUAGAUGGAUCCGCGCUGCAUUAGCUAGUUGGUAAGGUAACGGCUUACCAAGGCAACGAUGCAUAGCCGACCUGAGAGGGUGAUCGGCCACACGGGAACUGAGACACGGUCCAGACUCCUACGGGAGGCAGCAGUAGGGAAUCUUCCGCAAUGGGCGAAAGCCUGACGGAGCAACGCCGCGUGAGUGAUGAAGGUCUUCGGAUCGUAAAACUCUGUUAUUAGGGAAGAACAUAUGUGUAAGUAACUGUGCACAUCUUGACGGUACCUAAUCAGAAAGACACGGCUAACUACGUG
rnacentral:rRNA from 1 species